UACGUAGGGGGCUAGCGUUGUCCGGAAUCAUUGGGCGUAAAGAGCGUGUAGGCGGUCCGGUAAGUCCGUUGUGAAAGUCAGGGGCUCAACCCUUGAAUGCCGGCGGAUACUGUCGGGCUAGAGUCCGGAAGAGGCAAGUGGAAUUCCCGGUGUAGCGGUGAAAUGCGCAGAUAUCGGGAGGAACACCUAUGGCGAAGGCAGCUUGCUGGGACGGCACUGACGCUGAGGUGCGAAAGCGUGGGGAGCAAACAGG
rnacentral:rRNA from 1 species